rnacentral:lncRNA from 1 species
GACGUACAACUGGUCCAAUUAUGUUAUACUGGUCCAACUAAUUAUACUGGUAUUACUAGUAUACUGAGUUAUACUAGUAAUACUUAUGUAGUUGUACUGAGUUAUACUAGUAAUACUUAUUUAUUUGUGAUACUAGUAAUACUUACAUAGUUAUACCGAGUUCUAUUAGUAAUACUUACGUAGUUGUACGGAAUUGUACUGAGUUCUACUGAAUAAGUUAUAAUUAGUUGUACUCAUACAAUUCUACCAAAUUAUACGAGUUCUACUGAAUCCAAUCCGCAAAUAAAAUCAAAGAAACACACAACCAAAUACAAAAAUUAUAGAUCCAUAACUUCCAUAGAAUAAGAACCGGACUUAAAUAUCCAGAAAAAUCCAAAAUCGAAGAAAAACAAGAAGAACCCUAAAUCAAAGAAACCCAUAAUUUUUCAUAAACAUUGUUUCUGUUUCGUCAAUGCCUUAAGAACCCUAACUCGAAAAAUCCAGAACAUGCGGAAAUUGUAGAUCGAGAACCCAUAGAUCUACUUUUAAGUAGAACAAUCUCAAGGAAAGUCUCUAUCUUAGUUUCCGUCGUCUUCUCCACCAUUGUUUCAGGUUGAAUUACAGGGGUUCAUCGCAGAAAAAUAGAGAAAGAAGAGAAGAAAGUCAUGGAGAAAGAAAGAAAAUAACAGUUUUGGAGAGAAGAAGAGGUGGGAGGAAGAAGAGAAAAAGAAAAAUCU